rnacentral:rRNA from 1 species
CGUGAGAUGUUGGGUUAAGUCCCGCAACGAGCGCAACCCUUGUCCGUAGUUGCCAUCAUUCAGUUGGGCACUCUACGGAGACCGCCGGUGACAAAUCGGAGGAAGGUGGGGACGACGUCAAGUCAUCAUGGCCCUUAUGACCAGGGCUACACACGUGCUACAAUGGCCGGUACAGAGGGUUGCCAACCCGCGAGGGGGAGCUAAUCCCAGAAAGCCGGUCGUAGUCCAGAUCGGAGUCUGCAACUCGACUCCGU